GGGAGUUAAUACUCAAUAUCAAUCAGAAAAGAGUAAGUGAACAAUACCUAGUUGUCCUGGAUGGAUUCAAAUCACCUUACCCAGGUGAACCAUACCCAUAGGGUUUGAAACAACUGGCAGGAAAUAAUCUAUGAGGCAGCAACAUAGUGCCAUAGUGCAAAGAACGGUAGGUCUGAAAUCAGAAGACUCAUCUUCCUGAAUGUACAUUUGGCCUCAGACCCUACCUGUCUGACCCUGGGUUGCCACAAUUGAAGAACAAGUUUUAUCUCUAAGAGGGAUGUGUUCACAGCUUUGCUAACUGUCACAGUUAAACUUGAAGUACUGGAUAAAAGAUCUUAGAAAAGAUGAAGAUCUUGGCAAAAUGAAGAGUGUGAUGCUAUUUUGAGAAAGAACCAAGAGACAAGCCAGAUAAAGCUUUUAGAAGAACAAGAAAAACUGUACCUUACAGAACAUUAGCCACCAGCUAUACAAAUUGUAAGCUGUCAUAAAAGAGUGUCAGUUUCUGGCUUCCAAAACAAACAAACAAAAAAAGAUAUAUUUUGGGCUAAUAUGUGUUUAUGUGUUUGAGAACAGUAAGAUAUAAAGUACGGAGAGAUAUCUUCUGUUCUAUCCAGUAAUGAUUUCUUUCUAAGGUGCUAAUUGAAUAAAUUGAAUAUUCAUUUAAAAACUAGCUCUUAAAUUCAGAAUCAUUAAGAGCCAAGUACCUAGGCUACCCUAUUCCAUCUCCAUAUCUUAUUCACCAAGCUGCCCUACUUUAGCUGUUGGCCCAUAUUACACUUUACUGAUAUAUGUUAAAUUCCUUCACUUCUGCAAUCUCAGAAGGAUGAAAUAUGUGUUAAUUCUGAAGUUAAUUUCACCUCUUUUAUAACCUGUUGAUGACAUUCCAUGCUGCCACUGACAUUGAAUGAUAUAUAGAUUAUUCUGUGUUUUUUCUACUUUUCAUUCAAGAGAUGGGGAAAAGGAACAAGGGUCUGUUUCCUUGGCUAACAUACCACACAGUCUCUUCUUGCAUUUCAUCUGUAGAGCAGGUAUUUGUCUCAGGAAGGUUAGCUAAGUCUUUACUCUUUUCAGUGACUGAUCAUUUGUCAUAAGUGAAAAAUAUGCACGCAUUUCUAGUCAGCAGAUGGAUGAGUAGAGAAUCUAAGUACAAUUGACUGAGUGACGCUAUUUUAGUACUGAUGUCUGUGGUGGUGAUUAAUCACAAAGGCAGGUUUACUGGAAAAGCUUGUUCCAAAACAGAACAUUUUCAUUGCAGUAUAUUGCUAUCCUAUAUUACUCUACAUGUGCUAGAUGGGAGAGACCUGAAUUUCUGUAUUCUGGUGGGAGAUGAUAGGAAAGUUGAGAAUUAUUGUUUUGAAUCAGUGCUUUGCAAGGUAAUUCUCUGAGAUUUUCUUUACUCAGCUGUGUUAAAGUACUAUUCUGGAUAGUAAGAGCAGGAAGAGGGAAGCUAUAGGGAUUAGGAGGAUCUAAUGGGGCGAAAUGGAUUUUAGACAUCUUGAGUUUAAGCUGUUUACUGGACAUCCAGUUCCAAUGUUUGAAUUAGAAUUGUAAGUUCUAGAAUUCCAAUUACAACUGCAAGACUGGAGUUCUGCUGACAGGUUAGGGCAGGAACGAAGAUCUGAGAAUAACCAGCACAGAUGAUAAUUAAAUCUAUUAAAGUCCAUGAGAUUACCAAGAAAAGUAGUAUGAGGAGAGAGAGACACACAUAGAGAUAAAGAAACA